ensembl:lncRNA
AUGCAUCGUCUUGGUACUUCUGUUUUGAUGCUUAUUAUACUACCUCUUGCGUUUUCCUGUGAAAGUGGCCACGAUAAAAAACAGAUCCCCAAGGAAUACCGCAAUAUCAUUAAGAUACAACUGAAGCACGUUGAGUCUAUUAUUGAACAACUCGAUUCAAACUGUACAGCAAGAAAUGUCAGCAUGUUGAAGGAGCCAAAAAAUAUGCAGUCCAUCCACAGAAAAAUCUGCAAGGUUAACGGAAAACUGAGGAGAACCAAGGGGGAUUCAGCACACAUAAAUGGACAAUUGAAAGAUGUGUUAUUAAAACUUGUGGAUGAAAUAAAUACGUCCUUGAGAUGUUGGUGCCAUGGAAAGAGAGAGGGGACAAAUAAGCCAAUACAGCAAAGACAACAGUGGAAGCUUUGCAGAGUGAAAGACAUUCUCGCCAACUUACAGAGAUACUUUGAACAAUACAAUGCAUAUCUGUUACUCAGCACAGACCUUCCAGAGCGUGGGAAGACUUCAGAGCAAACCGGUAUAUAA